rnacentral:rRNA from 1 species
UACGGAGGGGGCUAGCGUUGUUCGGAAUUACUGGGCGUAAAGCGCACGUAGGCGGCUUGGUAAGUUAGAGGUGAAAGCCUGGAGCUCAACUCCAGAAUUGCCUUUAAGACUGCCGAGCUAGCAGGUGAGAGAGGUAAGUGGAAUUCCGAGUGUAGAGGUGAAAUUCGUAGAUAUUCGGAAGAACACCAGUGGCGAAGGCGGCUUACUGGCUCAUACUGGACGCUGAGGUGCGAAAGCGUGGGGAGCAAACAGG